ACUCCUACGGGAGGCAGCAGUGGGGAAUAUUGCACAAUGGGGGAAACCCUGAUGCAGCCAUGCCGCGUGUGUGAAGAAGGCCUUCGGGUUGUAAAGUACUUUCAGUAGGGAGGAAGGUAGNGUAGUUAAUACCNGUACUAUUGACGUUACCUACAGAAGAAGCACCGGCUAANUCCCGUGCCAGCAGCCGCGGUAAUACGGAGGGUGCGAGCGUUAAUCGGAAUUACUGGGCGUAAAGCGCAUGCAGGCGGCCUGUUAAGUCAGAUGUGAAAGCCCGGGGCUUAACCUCGGAAUUGCAUUUGAAACUGGCAGGCUAGAGUCUUGUAGAGGGGGGUAGAAUUUCAGGUGUAGCGGUGAAAUGCGUAGAGAUCUGAAGGAAUACCAGUGGCGAAGGCGGCCCCCUGGACAAAGACUGACGCUCAGAUGCGAAAGCGUGGGGAGCAAACAGGAUUAGAUACCCUGGUAG
rnacentral:rRNA from 1 species